GGUUAGCUAUGAGGAUAAUAAUUCAGCUUCAAAUGCCAAUUUUACUUUUGAAAAUAUUGUGAUUGAUGAAGCUGUUAUAUUUCUGAGCCUUUC